AUAUUUGCAGUGGUUUAAGGCUGAACCAUUGUUCAUUAAAAGGGAACCAAGUGAGAAGAAUAUUCAAAUCUUGGGCUGUACCCGCAACUGUAAGCUGUUUAAACAGGAAUACACUGUGCCACUGGAUCAAAAUCCGGGAAGGCGUAUUCCUGAUGCAAGCCAGGAGACCUGCCUUAACUGUAUUCAUCAG
rnacentral:ncRNA from 1 species